ACAAUUAGCUGCGGGCCGCAAAUGGCCCCCGGGCCACACUUUGGACACCCCUGAUCUAGGGUGAGGCUCAGCCAUUGUACUCCGGCUGUGCUGACCCUUACGAAUUCCCCAAAUGUGGGAAUCUCGACUGCAUAAUUUGUGGUAGUGGGGGACUGCGUUCGCGCUCCCCCUG